AUGGCAAAGGCCAACAAGAAGUUGAAGGUGACAAAAACCACUGAAAACUGUUCUGAGCCGGAGAAGCAGUCAACAGAGACCUCCCUCCAUGCCACUGAGGCCACAGCUGAUGAGCCGCUACUAGAAAAACACACCAUCACCAUAGAUCAUAUGGAUGUUGACACAACCACCACCAAGUCGCCAAGUCCCAUAAAGCCUACUGAAGAAAAGGUUGAUGAUGUUACCAUUACUGGGCUUGGUUAUACAGCGCCGGACAAUCCCACUCUUAUCAAAGCACAAUGCCAAGGAAGAAAUAUCUGUUGCUGA
rnacentral:rRNA from 1 species